GUCUCUUUGUUUACAUUUUAUAGGGAGUCGGGCCUGCCCGGUGAUAUGAAAUUUAACGGCCGCAGUAUUUUGACUGUGCAAAGGUAGCAUAAUCACUUGCCUUAUAAUUGAAGGCUUGUAUGAAGGGUUUGACGAGAAUAAUGCUGUCUUAAUUUAAAUUUUUUAGAACUUAACUUUUAAGUGAAAAGGCUUAUAUAUAAUUAAAAGACAAGAAGACCCUAUCGAGCUUCAAAAAGAUUAUGAGUUUUUUUUUGUAAUGAUAUAAAUGGGGCUUGUUUGAGAUUUUUUGGUUGGGGUGACCAGGGAACAAUAGAAGCUUCUCUUGUAUUUAUUUUUAAUUAUGGUUAUUGAUCCAGCAAAUUUUGUUGAAUUUAGAUUAAGUUACCGUAGGGAUAACAGCAUAAUCUUUUUCGAGAGUUCUUAUCGAAAAAAGGGAUUGUGACCUCGAUGUUGGAUUAAAAUUUCCUAGAGGUGUAGAAGCUUUGAAAAUAUAUUGGGUUGGUCUGUUCGACCAUUAAAAUUUU
rnacentral:rRNA from 1 species